rnacentral:rRNA from 1 species
AUUGAACGCUGGCGGCAGGCCUAACACAUGCAAGUCGAACGGUAACAGGAAGAAGCUUGCUUCUUUGCUGACGCGUGGCGGACGGGUGAGUAAUGUCUGUGAAACUGUCUGAUGGAGGGGGAUAACUCCUGGAAACGGUAGCUAAUACCGCAUAACGUCGCAAGACCAAAGAGGGGGACCUUUUGGCCUCUUGCCAUCGUAUGUGCCCAGAUGGGAUUAGCUAGUAGGUGGGGUAACGGCUCACCUAGGCGACGAUCCCUAGCUGGUCUGAGAGGAUGACCAGCCACACUGGAACUGAGACACGGUCCAGACUCCUACGGGAGGCAGCAGUGGGGAAUAUUGGACAAUGGGCGCAAGCCUGAUGCAGCCAUGCCGCGUGUAUGAAGAAGGCCUUCGGGUUGUAAAGUACUUUCAGCGGGGAGGAAGGGAGUAAAGUUAAUACCUUUGCUCAUUGACGUUACCCGAAGAAGAAGCACCGGCUAACUCCGUG